rnacentral:lncRNA from 1 species
AUGGGAAAGACUAGAGAUCUCUUCAAGAAAAUUAGAGAUACCAAGGGAAUAUUUCAUGCAGAGAUGGGCUCAAUAAAGGACAGAAAUGGUAGGGACCUAACAGAAGCAAAAUAUAUUAAGAAAAGGUGGCAAGAAUACACAGAAGAACUGUACAAAAAAGAUCUUCAUGACCAAGAUAAUCAUGAUGGUGUGAUCAGUCACCUAGAGCCAGACAUCCUGGAAUGUGAAGUCAGGUGGGCCUUAGAAAGCAUCACUAUGAACAAAGCUAGUGGAGGUGAUGGAAUUCCAGCUGGACUAUUUCAAAUCCUCAAAGAUGAUGCUGUGAAAGUGCUACACUCACUAUGCCAGCAACUUUGGAAAACUCAGCAGUGGCCACAGGACUGGAAAAGGUCACUUUUCAUUCCAAUUCCAAAGAAAGGCAAUGCCAAAGAAUGCUCAUUCUACCACGCAAUUGCACUCAUCUCACAUGCUAGUAAAGUAAUGCUCAAAAUUCUCCAAGCCAGACUUCAGAAAUACGUGAACCGUGAAUUUCCAGAUGUUCAAGCUGGUUUUAGAAAAGGCAGAGGAACCAGAGAUCAAACUGCCAACAUCUGCUGGAUCAUGGAAAAAGCAAGAGAGUUCCAGAAAAGCAUCUAUUUCUGCUUUAUUGACUAUGCCAAAGCCUUUGACUGUGUGGAUCACAAUAAACUGUGGAAAAUUCUGAAAGAGAUGGGAAUACCAGACCACCUGACCUGCCUCUUGAGAAACCUAUAUGCAGGUCAGGAAGCAAUAGUCAGAACUGAACAUGGAAAAACAGACUGGUUCCAAAAAGGAAAAGGAGUACAUCAAGGAUGUAUACUGUCACCCUGCUUAUUUAACUUCUAUGCAGAGUACAUCAUGAGAAACGCUGGGCUGGAAGAAGCACAAGCUGGAAUCAAGAUUGCCGGGAGAAAUAUCAAGAACCUCAGAUAUGCAGAUGACACCACCCUUAUAGCAGAAAGUGAAGAGGAACUAAAAAGCCUCUUGAUGAAAGUCAAAGAGGAGAGUAAAAAAGUUGGCUUAAAGCUCAACAUUCAGAAAACGAAGAUCAUGGCAUCUGGUCCCAUCACUUCAUGGGAAAUAGAUGGGGAAACAGUGGAAACAGUAUCAGACUUUAUUUUUUGGGGCUCCAAAAUCACUGCAGAUGGUGACCGCAGCCAUGAAAUUAAAAGACACUUACUCCUUGGAAGGAAAGUUAUGACCAACCUAGAUAGCAUAUUCAAAAGCAGAGACAUUACUUUGCCAACAAAGGUUUGUCUAGUCAAGGCUAUGUUUUUUUCAGUGGUCAUGUAUGGAUGUAAGAGUUGGGCUGCGAAGAAAGCUGAGUGCCAAAAAAUUGAUGCUUUUGCACUGUGGUGUUGGAGAAGACUCUUGAGAGUCCCUUGGACUGCAAGGAGAUCCAACCAGUCCAUUCUAAAGGAGAUCAGCCCUGGGAUUCCUUUGGAAGGAAUGAUGCUAAAGCUGAGAUUCCAGUACUUUGGCCACCUCAUGCGAAGAGUUGACUCACUGGAAAAGACCCUGAUGCUGGGAGGGAUUGGAGGCAGGAGGGGAAGGGGACAACAGAGGAUGAAAUUGCUGUAUGGCAUCACCGACUCAAUGGAUGUGAGUCUGAGUGAACUCCGGGAGUUGGUGAUGGACAGAGAGUUUUAUCAUGCUGCGAUUCAUGGAGUCACAAAGAGUCAGACACAACUGAGCAACUGA